AGCUGGAAGUUGUUCCCUUGAGGAGUGGCUUCCGGAGCUAACGCGUUAAGUCGACCGCCUGGGGAGUACGGCCGCAAGGUUAAAACUCAAAUGAAUUGACGGGGGCCCGCACAAGCGGUGGAGCAUGUGGUUUAAUUCGAUGCAACGCGAAGAACCUUACCUACUCUUGACAUCCACAGAACUUAGCAGAGAUGCUUUGGUGCCUUCGGGAACUGUGAGACAGGUGCUGCAUGGCUGUCGUCAGCUCGUGUUGUGAAAUGUUGGGUUAAGUCCCGCAACGAGCGCAACCCUUAUCCUUUGUUGCCAGCGGUUCGGCCGGGAACUCAAAGGAGACUGCCAGUGAUAAACUGGAGGAAGGUGGGGAUGACGUCAAGUCAUCAUGGCCCUUACGAGUAGGGCUACACACGUGCUACAAUGGCAUAUACAAAGAGAAGCGACCUCGCGAGAGCAAGCGGACCUCAUAAAGUAUGUCGUAGUCCGGAUUGGAGUCUGCAACUCGACUCCAUGAAGUCGGAAUCGCUAGUAAUCGUGGAUCAGAAUGCCACGGUGAAUACGUUCCCGGGCCUUGUACACACCGCCCGUCACACCAUGGGAAGUGGGUUGCAAAAGAAGUAGGUAGCUUAACCUUCGGGAGGGCGCUUACCACUUUGUGAUUCAUGACUGGGGUGAAGUCGUCAAAGGGGAAACCCAGGGGGGGGGGC
rnacentral:rRNA from 1 species